rnacentral:rRNA from 1 species
UGGGGGAUAUUGCACAAUGGGCGCAAGCCUGAUGCAGCGACGCCGCGUGAGGGAUGACGGCUUUCGGGUUGUAAACCUCUUUUACUAUCGAACAAGGCACAGUCUUUUGUUGUGUUGAGGGUAGGUGGUGAAUAAGCGCCGGCUAACUACGUGCCAGCAGCCGCGGUAAUACGUAGGGCGCGAGCGUUGUCCGGAAUUAUUGGGCGUAAAGAGCUCGUAGGCGGCUUGUCGCGUCUGCUGUGAAAUCCCAGGGCUUAACUCUGGGCGUGCAGUGGGUACGGGCAGGCUAGAGUGCGGUAGGGGUGAUUGGAAUUCCUGGUGUAGCGGUGGAAUGCGCAGAUAUCAGGAGGAACACCGAUGGCGAAGGCAGGUCACUGGGCCGUUACUGACGCUGAGGAGCGAAAGCAUGGGGAGCGAACA